rnacentral:rRNA from 1 species
CCUACGGGAGGCAGCAGUGGGGAAUUUUGGACAAUGGGGGAAACCCUGAUCCAGCCAUUCCGCGUGAGUGAAGAAGGCCUUCGGGCUGUAAAGCUCUUUCAGGAGGGAAGAAACGGUUACGGAUAAUACCUGUGACUAAUGACGGUACCUUCAGAAGAGGCACCGGCUAACUACGUGCCAGCAGCCGCGGUAAUACGUAGGGUGCGAGCGUUAAUCGGAAUUACUGGGCGUAAAGCGUGCGCAGGCGGUUUUGUAAGUCAGAUGUGAAAGCCCCGGGCUCAACCUGGGAACUGCGUUUGAAACUACAAGGCUAGAGUGUAGCAGAGGGGGGUAGAAUUCCACGUGUAGCAGUGAAAUGCGUAGAGAUGUGGAGGAAUACCGAUGGCGAAGGCAGCCCCCUGGGUUAACACUGACGCUCAUGUACGAAAGCGUGGGGAGCAAACAGGAUUAGAUACCCUGGUAGUCCACGCCCUAAACGAUGUCAACUAGUUGUCGGGAGAGGAGACUUUCUUGGUAACGCAGCUAACGCGUGAAGUUGACCGCCUGGGGAGUACGGUCGCAAGAUUAAAACUUAAAAGGAAUUGACGG